GGCCACGCCUCCUUUUUUGUAUCUAUGAAUAGUGGGAGGAAGGGAUAAGCCCCGAGCGCUCUCUUUCCGCUUUCCUCUCCCUCGUGCUCUCCUUUCCUCGCCGCCACCACUCCAUCCUAGCCGCCUCCUCUCCUCGUCGAACCAGCCGCCUCCUCUCCAUCUUCACGCGCAGCCUCCUCUCCCUCAAGCCCCGCCUCCUUCCCACCCGGGCUUCGCCUCUUCGGGCGGCGGGACGCAGUGGCUGUGGUGAUGGCAGAUGGGGCGACAACGACGGCGCUCCUCCUCUCCCAUGGCCGAGGACGGCGGUGAGGGGCAAAGGGGCGCUGUCGUUCUCCCCCCUCAGCGCGUGCGUCAGAGACGGAUGAGGAGGCCAAGCAGUUCGUCAUGUCGUCGACGCCGUCCUCGCCUGUCAAGGUCUGGAUCCUCCUCCCCCUUGCCUAAUGGCGGCGCCUGGAUCCUCCUCCCUCUUCCCUUCCAUGGCGGCAGCACCCGGACCUGCCGCCUCUUCCUCAUCAUCAGUCCGAGGGAGAGGAGUGUCAGCAGCCAGACGCUCCUCGUCCGUGUCGCGUGGUGGCCCAGAUGCAUUCGCCCCGUGCUCUGCCGGUGCCCGUCUACCGCCGGAGAAGGAGGGGAGGACUGGAUGCCAGUCGAUCUGGAGGAAGAAGAGGAGACCCGGAAAAAAUCGACGGCUCGAGCGAUGCUUGGUGACAUCCCUGGAUAGGCUUUGUGGUGGAGGGCACGGCCUCCGCUGCCGGGUGCACGAUGAGGCACUCGAGGGGUAGGGUCGCUUGCAGCGCAGGUGCCCGUCGUGUGUCCCAGCGAGGCACCUGAUGCAGCUGCAGCAGGCCGGCAAGUUUGGCUGAUUUAAACACUCAAGGUUUUGUACAUCAGCCUACUGAAAACAUUCAGUUAUUGACAAAUCAUGACAUUACAAUCUGACAAAUCAUGCAUGCAAAAUCUGACCAAGUGUAAAAGCUUGUCAAAGCUCUCAUUCCUUGUUAUGUUAUAAACUGAAUGCCAAUAUAGAUUUCUCAAUGUGACAAAUUGUUUGCACUUUCUGAGCACGGAAAUCUGUAUAUUUUAGAUAAAGUAGCAUUUGCCAGUAGAAGUCAUGGUUGGAUCAACAUAUUAUUCCACUGAAAUCCUUUUUUAAUGCAAGUUUACAGCUGCUCGGAGUUCCUAAUUGCAGACUCAACUAUCUUGACCUAUCAAUGAUCUAAUUUGAGGCAUUAUUACCUUAAGAAAAUAUUUGCAUUUAAUUUCCUUUAUAUAUAGGGGUAUAAGUUCUUACCAAAUGUACUCAAAUAUACAGUUAUUGAAAAAAUGCAAAUAUUUUCAACACAAACAUGGUUUUAAAUGGGUCUUUGCGCCAUUUGGCGCAACUGGUCAUCUAGUAUUACAAAACCAGAAGGCAUCACAGGUUGAACUUGAGAAUUGAAGAGCAAAUAUUCCAAUGCUCAUAUAGAUAGGCAUCAACUUUUCAUAAAACAUGUCUACCUUGUUCAGUGACCAGUGUAAAGCUACAACCUAAGCUCUUGUUCUGACUUUUCUCAAUAAGUGAAACAUCUUGGUCUCGUCCCCAAAUUCAAGCAUGCUUAAAUUCAUAAUCAAUCAGUCAUGGAAAGGCCAGGCAUCGAAAAUCUGAUGCAUAAUCAUUGAACAAACUUAGCAAGGUAAUCUAUGAAUGCUUGUUACGACAUCCAAGUCACAGGUUAGAGCGCUCCCCAAAAAAAGAACUACAUAACUCCCGGUACUUUGUGUCGAUGCCUCCCCACGAGUGUGACGACGAGGUUGCCACUUGAUCAAGAAGAUGUGCGCUUCUAGGGAGAACACGUAUUGGUCGGUGGCAUCAGUUGUGGCACCAUCAUAGAGUGGCAUCAUCGUUCAUCAGUAGCAAGUUGUUGGCCACGCCUGAAAAAUACGAGGCAUUGCCAUAGUUUGGACCAUAUUUUGUCGUGAAAGCUAAGAUUAGAGUCCCAAAAGCUAGCACAUUUUUGGGUGUUGACUUACAAAGUUAUUCUCUCGUGCCAAGUAUAUGUAUCGUGGAUGUUUGUUUACUACAGAAUAAACUUACACCACGGUGAGAUUGGUGAUGAGCUAAGUUCAAUGUGUGAUUCUAAACUACGGGGGAGUUUUUUUCUUACUAUGUUUGCAUAUGGCUUUAGGUUCAUCUCAGAUAUACAUGAGAAUUAAUGGUACAUGGACCUCGUCAACAUGAUGAAGUGGUGCAGCUAUGCUCGGUUCUUAACUUUUGGCCUCUCACGUCUGAUCAAAGAGGGGAACAGAAUGACAAGCAUGCCAUUCCGUCGCUGUAGCCAGAUCAUUGUACCAUGUUUUUUGGUACAUCUAGCAUAUGGAGAGUUUUUUUUGUGGCAAUGGAGAGUUGAUAUGCGAACUCCUGAAUAAAUAUCGUGAGUUCGCCACAACGAGCUUCAAAGUGCUGGACCCCCUUCUCUGCCUAUAGGCCUAG
rnacentral:rRNA from 1 species